UAAUUCCUUCGGGGUCGGGUGAAAUUCCCAAUCGGCGGUGAUGAAGUAUCUUGCUUCUUAGUCCGUGACCCGUGCGGUUAUUCCUAUAACCAAGCGGUGGAUCUGGUGAAACUCCAGAGCCGACAGUUAAAGUCUGGAUGGGAGAAGGGAUUU
rnacentral:ncRNA from 1 species